AAAGAGAAUACUCCAGAACCCAGGGUCUCAGUGUAUGCCUUGCAUGUGAGAGGAAGAUGGCGUUUUGAAAUACUGGAUGCAAUAAACAAUGCACUGGAGUUAGUGGAUCAAGCUGGAAUUAGUGAGGUUGUUGCAGCUCUUCAGGGGUCUCAGUCUCAGAGCAAUGAUGUGCCAGCCACUAUUGUUGCAGCUGUUAAAGAGCUUCAGUCCAGCAAUGAUGAUGUGCCGACCAAUGCAGAUGAUGUUGCUGAUGGGAAUGGAAAAUGACUGCCAAUAAAGACAUACAAACAUAGCUACACACACACAAGCAUGCAUGCACCUGCACACAGAUGUUCAUAUACAACAAUGUUCAGAUAAAGUUCAAUAAAGUUCUUGUUGUUCAACGGCAAAA